rnacentral:rRNA from 1 species
GAUGACGGGAGCUUGCUCCUUGAUUCAGCGGCGGACGGGUGAGUAAUGCCUAGGAAUCUGCCUGGUAGUGGGGGACAACGUUUCGAAAGGAACGCUAAUACCGCAUACGUCCUACGGGAGAAAGCAGGGGACCUUCGGGCCUUGCGCUAUCAGAUGAGCCUAGGUCGGAUUAGCUAGUUGGNGAGGUAAUGGCUCACCAAGGCGACNAUCCGUAACUGGUCUGAGAGGAUGAUCAGUCACACUGGAACUGAGACACGGUCCAGACUCCUACGGGAGGCAGCAGUGGGGAAUAUUGGACAAUGGGCGAAAGCCUGAUCCAGCCAUGCCGCGUGNGUGAANAAGGUCUUCGGAUUGUAAAGCACUUUAAGUUGGGAGGAAGGGCAGUAAGCGAAUACCUUGCUGUUUUGACGUUACCGACAGAAUAAGCACCGGCUAACUCUGUGCCAGCAGCCGCGGUAAUACAGAGGGUGCAAGCGUUAAUCGGAAUUACUGGGCGUAAAGCGCGCGUAGGUGGUUCGUUAAGUUGGAUGUGAAAGCCCCGGGCUCAACCUGGGAACUGCAUCCAAAACUGGCGAGCUAGAGUACGGUAGAGGGUGGUGGAAUUUCCUGUGUAGCGGUGAAAUGCNUAGAUAUAGGAAGGAACACCANUGGCGAAGGCGACCACCUGGACUGAUACUGACNCUGAGGUGCGAAAAGCGUGGGGGAGCAAACAGGAUUAGAUACCCUGGUA